AUGGACACCCACAAGGAUGUGCAACCUCCAAAGCAGCAACCAAUAAUAUAUAUCUGUGGAGAAUGUCACACAGAAAAUAAAAUAAAAUCUAGGGAUCCAAUCAGAUGCAGAGAAUGUGUAUACAGAAUAAAGUACAAAAAAAAAGGACUAAAAGAUUGGUCAUUUUUGAUGCUCGAUGAAACCUAAGAAUUCAGAGGAAUGUCUUCACUUAUACUUGGAUUUGCUCUGUCAAUGUUUCUGAUUCUUGUAUAGCUUUUGAUUUUGCAUACAGUAGUUUCCCUUAUCAUUGGGGGAUAUGUUCCAAGGCCCCCAAUGGACUUCUGAAACCUCCCAUAGUACCAAGCCUUUAUACACUGUUUUUUUCUAUAUAUACAUACCUAUGAUAAAGUGUAAUGUAUAAAUUAAGCAUAGCAAGAGAUUAAUAAUAAUAAAAUAGAACAAUGAUAACAUACUGUAAUAAAAGUUAUGUGAAUGUGAUUGGUGUCUCUUGCUCUCAAAAUAUCUUCUUGUACAGUACUCACCUAUUUUAGAAUGUGGUUCACUACAGGUAACUGAAACAAUAGAAAGGGAAACUUUGGAUGAGUGGGCACUACUGUACUUAGAAAUACAACUCUAUAUGUAUGAUUUUAUUUGUAAGACCAUACUGUAUUUAGGUAUCUACUAAUAUUUUAUAUAAAGCAAUUUUUUGUUCCAUUUUAUGACUUUCUAUUUAUUGUGUAUGUAAUCUGACACACAAUAAAGGGUAAAGUUGCUUCCUCAAGGCACACUUUUAAUUAAAACCUAGCAUCAUUUGCAGUCCUUGUUAAAAAUGCACUCUUCUAGAAUCCUUUGAAGUUCUGAUUAAAUAAAUGUAUUGGAAACCAAAAAA